rnacentral:rRNA from 1 species
AUUGAACGCUGGCGGCAGGCUUAACACAUGCAAGUCGAGCGGUAGCACAAGAGAGCUUGCUCUCUGGGUGACGAGCGGCGGACGGGUGAGUAAUGUCUGGGAAACUGCCGGAUGGAGGGGGAUAACUACUGGAAACGGUAGCUAAUACCGCAUAACGUCGCAAGACCAAAGAGGAGGACCUUCGGGCCUCUUGCCAGCAGAUGUGCCCAGAUGGGAUUAGCUAGUAGGUGGGGUAAUGGCUCACCUAGGCGACGAUCCCUAGCUGGUCUGAGAGGAUGACCAGCCACCCUGGAACUGAGACACGGUCCAGACUCCCACGGGAGGCAGCAGUGGGGAAUAUUGCACAAUGGGCGGAAGCCUGAUGCAGCCAUGCCGCGUGUGUGAAGAAGGCCUUCGGGUUGUAAAGCACUUUCAGCGAGGAGGAAGGUGGUGAACUUAAUACGUUCAUCAAUUGACGUUACUCGCAGAAGAAGCACCGGCUAACUCCGUG